CACAGCAACCACCUCUGCCUCCUUCUCAGCCAGCAUUUAGUCAGGUUCCUGCUUCCAGUACUUCAACUUUGCCCCCUUCUACUCACUCAAAGACAUCUGCUGUGUCCUCUCAGGCAAAUUUUCAGCCCCCUGUACAGGUUUCUGUGAAGACUCAAGUAUCUGUAACAGCUGCUAUUCCACACCUGAAAACUUCAACGUUGCCUCCUCUGCCCCUCCCACCCUUAUUACCUGGAGAUGAUGACAUGGAUAGAAUUUGUUGUCCUCGUUAUGGAGAAAGAAGACAAACAGAAAGCGACUGGGGGAAACGCUGUGUGGACAAGUUUGACAUUAUUGGGAUUAUUGGAGAAGGAACCUAUGGCCAAGUAUAUAAAGCCAAGGACAAAGACACAGGAGAACUAGUGGCUCUGAAGAAGGUGAGACUAGACAAUGAGAAAGAGGGCUUCCCAAUCACAGCCAUUCGUGAAAUCAAAAUCCUUCGUCAGUUAAUCCACCGAAGUGUUGUUAACAUGAAGGAAAUUGUCACAGAUAAACAAGAUGCACUGGAUUUCAAGAAGGACAA
rnacentral:sRNA from 1 species